GACAGAGGCCUCGAGCGUUAGGCGGAAUCACUGGGCUUAAAGCGUGUGUAGGCGGGCCCGUAAGUGUCUUGUGAAAUCCCACGGCUCAACCGUGGAACUGCUGGGCAUACUGCGGGUCUUGGGCCAACUAGGGGCAGCCGGAACAAGCGGUGGAGCGGUGAAAUGCGUAGAUAUCGCUUGGAACGCCGAUGGCGAAGGCAGCUCGCUGGGACGGUACUGACGCUGAGGCGCGAAAGCGUGGGGAGCGAACGAGGAUU
rnacentral:rRNA from 1 species